AGAAAGGGAAUCGCCUCCUUGUUCAUGUUAAUGUCUUGGGAGUUUUGGAAAGAGCGCAACGCGAGGGUCUUUCGCAACACCGUCGCUACUACGAUGAAGGUCGUCGCGAAGAUCAAAGAGGAGGCCCAUCUUUGAGCUUUGGCAGGUGCCACCCAUUUGAGUAUUGUAAUGUCGUGA
rnacentral:rRNA from 1 species